GGAUUGGGAUAUUCCGACUCCUUAAGGGCCUGGCGCACAUAAGGUGUGACCUUUUCAUUCCCGUUGUUAUGGAGGGCCACAUCUGCCAGAGCCUGGAGUCUGCGAAGGCCGGGACCCGGUUCCCCGGCCCACAGUGGGGGUGUGCAAACCCGAGAGAACUGGAUUGCGUACCCACUGCAGAGUGCUGAAGACGGGGUAGCCACGAGGUUGCAAAUUCGUGAAGAAUCAGCAUCAUGUUUGGCAGCUGAGUAUUGGAGCCAGGAGCCUGCCAUGAGGUUAUAUUCCCAGAGGAUGUCAGUCCCAAGGACCAGUAGCUGCCAUCAGUUUGGAUUCUGAAAACUAACUGGCAUCAACACUGGGUGUAGAAACAUGCUUGCCUUAUGUAUCAGAGGACAUGCUCAGCAGAUCCAAGAGAUAUAUUUGGCAACUUUUUCUAGAAAAGGCACAUUGGGUAUCAUUCAUUACAUUCUUGAGUUUUUUUGGGUUUUUUUUUUUUUUUUUGAGACAGUCUUGCUGUAUUGCCCAGGCUGGAGUGUGGUGGCACAAUCACAGCUCAUUGCAUCCUCAAUCACCCAGGCCUAAGCAAUCCUCCCACCUUGUAGCUGGGACUACAGCUCACAGCACACCUGGCUAAAAUUUUUUUUUUGUUGAGACGGAUUCUCUAUGUUGCCCAGGCUGGUCUCAGGCUCCUGGGCUCAGAUGGUCCUCCUGCCUCAGCUUCCAAAGGCACAGGCCAAGUUGUAGCUUUGUCCCUUGCCAUCAUGCCCAACAAGAGGUUCUAUACCUUUUAAUGAAUUGACUUUCAUAAAUUGGUUAUGUUGGUGGGCAAAGUUCUUUAAGCUGGAAAUUGUAAAUUCCUCCUGAAAUGUUUUUUCAUGCAGUUACCAUGAACUAAUACUACAAUAAAGGAUGGUCUUGGGUGUCAAUUCUUGAAAA
rnacentral:lncRNA from 1 species